rnacentral:rRNA from 1 species
UAGGGAAUCUUCGGCAAUGGGGGGAACCCUGACCGAGCAACGCCGCGUGAGUGAAGAAGGAUUUCGGUUCGUAAAACUCUGUUGUUAGAGAAGAACAGCGCAUAGAGUAACUGUUAUGCGUGUGACGGUAUCUAACCAGAAAGCCACGGCUAACUACGUGCCAGCAGCCGCGGUAAUACGUAGGUGGCAAGCGUUGUCCGGAUUUAUUGGGCGUAAAGCGAGCGCAGGCGGUCAAUUAAGUCUGAUGUGAAAGCCCCCGGCUCAACCGGGGAGGGUCAUUGGAAACUGGUUGACUUGAGGGCAGAAGAGGAGAGUGGAAUUCCAUGUGUAGCGGUGAAAUGCGUAGAUAUAUGGAGGAACACCAGUGGCGAAGGCGACUCUCUGGUCUGUAACUGACGCGGAGGCUCGAAAGCGUGGGUAGCAAACAGG